AUCACUUGGAAUUGAUGGUGUUGCUUGAAGGCAGAGCAAAAACCAACAUGUGGAAGGUGGUGCUGAGCUUCUCAACCUGGGGCUUGCUUGCAACUGCAACCAGCCAACAAACCAACAGCUACGGGUGAACCAUCUCCCUGAUCCUUCCAUUGCACUGCAUCUUUGACUCCUCAUGGGUAUAUAUAUGCCAGGCCAUAGGCAGCACAUGUCUACUGAUCUCUGAGACUCGGCAGAGGCAACACCGUGAAACUUCCAAGCCGAAGCAAUAUCAUGGCUCCCUUCAACAAUGGCCGAUCAUGCUUUGUUGCAGAUGAUGAUGUUUCUGAGGGCUCGGAAACAGCGUCCUUCAUAAGAUCUAUCGCCGCAGAGCUCGCCACGAGCAAGUGUCAACAAGAUCGGCAGAGUGGCAGCGGGGAAGCUUGACAGAUCGCUCGUCUCACAGAUAGGAAUAGCUUCCUAAUUUGGCUUCAGAACUCGGACAAGCUCUAAAUGAACGGACAGGACUAACCCGGUGGGAUCAAAAUUAGAAGCCACCGACACCGACAGCACUAACUAAACGGGAGCGCGCAUUGACCAGCGCGCGGAGCAGAACCCGUGCGACCGCCUCGUCUCACCGAUGCACCGCGGCGAUCGGGAUCCGUUUACCGAUUCGCCGGCUCCAGGCACGACGACGAGGAACGAGAGAGAGGGAAGGACCGGGCGGGCGGGAAGGAGAGGAGCUAGCCGAACCUGUGGUGGCCGGUGCGGAGAAGAAGAG